rnacentral:rRNA from 1 species
UACGAAGGGGGCUAGCGUUGCUCGGAAUUACUGGGCGUAAAGGGCGCGUAGGCGGACAGUUUAGUCAGAGGUAAAAGCCUAGGGCUCAACCUUGGAACUGCCUUUGAUACUGACUGUCUUGAGUUCGGGAGAGGUGAGUGGAAUGCCGAGUGUAGAGGUGAAAUUCGUAGAUAUUCGGCGGAACACCAGUGGCGAAGGCGACUCACUGGCCCGAUACUGACGCUGAGGCGCGAAAGCGUGGGGAGCAAACAGG